GCGUUUUUUGUCACGUGUUUUUAUUAAUAAUUCGAAAACAACAACUAUGGGAGGCUAGUCUUAUUUUCAAAAUUUUUGAAAUAUGUUUUAAUAUCACACAUGCGAUCCUGUAUAUGCCUAUAUGUGAGUUUAUUACUAACAAAUUACUUAAACAACCAAAGGCAAAAAUGAGGGGUCAGCAUAUCUCAUCGACAUCCACUACAUGCCGACUUUGACGCAGUUACAAAUAUCAAUCCAUUGAAAUACCAAAUACAAAACUGCUAGAAAGGCGUUUCGUCGUCUUCCUCAACAUGACCACCAAUGGAAACUUUGCUGACAAAAUUAAAAUAUAUAUGUAUAUAUUUAUUUUUAAUAUUAAAAUUUAGUGAAACUUUAAUUUAUAGAUA